UACAGAGGUGGCAAGCGUUGUUCGGAAUUACUGGGCGUAAAGGGCGCGUAGGCGGCCUACUAAGUCAGACGUGAAAUCCCCAGGCUUAACUUGGGAACUGCGUCUGAUACUGGAAGGCUUGAGUGCGGGAGAGGGAUGUGGAAUUCCAGGUGUAGCGGUGAAAUGCGUAGAUAUCUGGAGGAACACCGGUGGCGAAGGCGGCAUCCUGGACCGACACUGACGCUGAGGCGCGAAAGCUAGGGGAGCAAACAGG
rnacentral:rRNA from 1 species